rnacentral:lncRNA from 1 species
CUUCUUCUUUUUUUUAAUCAACUAAAACUCAAAAUAAGAUUAUUUUUUUUAAUAUAAAGUUACCAAAAUAACCUAAGCAGUAAGCAGAACAGCGCCACUAGCCUCCUUGAUCUUCUUCUCAGCAGAAUUCUCUGUUGAUGUUGACGAUAUGAGCCAGUGGAAUUUGUUGAGGAGCUCAUACCGGAUUUACCAAACUACCCGGUUGGUAUUUUGUCGCAGAGGAUCCUGCGUUAGUGUUGCAUGCCUCCGGCUUUCCCGCAACCUCAUGGGAGCUUUCUCUGUUUCGCGAUACACAGAAAAGAAUAGCAGAAAAGAAA